rnacentral:rRNA from 1 species
ACACUCCUACGGGAGGCAGCAGUGGGGAAUAUUGCACAAUGGGCGCAAGCCUGAUGCAGCGACGCCGCGUGGGGGAUGAAGGCCUUCGGGUUGUAAACUCCUUUCGCUAGGGACGAAGCUUUUUUGUGACGGUACCUAGAUAAGAAGCACCGGCUAACUACGUGCCAGCAGCCGCGGUAAUACGUAGGGUGCGAGCGUUGUCCGGAAUUACUGGGCGUAAAGGGCUCGUAGGUGGUUUGUCGCGUCGUCUGUGAAAUUCUGGGGCUUAACUCCGGGCGUGCAGGCGAUACGGGCAUAACUUGAGUGCUGUAGGGGUAACUGGAAUUCCUGGUGUAGCGGUGAAAUGCGCAGAUAUCAGGAGGAACACCGAUGGCGAAGGCAGGUUACUGGGCAGUUACUGACGCUGAGGAGCGAAAGCAUGGGUAGCGAACAGGAUUAGAUACCCUUGUAGUCCUAU